GGAGUCAGCUCUUUCCUAAGGUUUCUUGUCCGUUUCUUUGAUGCAUGGUCAGUCCUCCGCCUUCAGCAGGGCUUUGCUUGUCUCCAUAGGUACAGAAGAGUGAACACGAAGCCCAGGCAGCUGUCUGUCCAGGACUGCAUUUCCCGUCUGCGAGGGGCUAGGGAAAAUACUGACAACAUCUUCACCAUCAGCUGCCUUUUACAUACUUCUUUGUACCAGCCAAUUGGUUUGGAUGUUUUAUUUAAUCUUUCAUGUUAUAGAUAUUUUCAUCUUAUAAGCUCAUGAGCCAUGAGCAGGAAUUCGCAGUCUUCUGUGAGCUAACUCUGCCCAUGUGAAGAUAAUUUUUCACCAUUCACCACUGUUCUGUUAGCAUAAAGAUAUACAUUUGUAUAUACAGAACUACUAACUGCGUCUUCAGCAUCAUGAAGCAUUUAUGUUCGCCAUAAAGAACCUCGUGUCUGCACAUUGUACCUCUACUUUUUCUCCCUCUGAUCUCACCAGUCACUAAAUACGAAUGUACUUCUGAAGUUGUAUUUGUGUAGUAAGUUAUUUCUUUCUGUAGCUGCUAUCUGGUUUCCUUUUAUCUUUUUAAGGUAUUUUUAGAGUAACUUCCUACCAACAACUUUAAGUAUGUUGUUAAUAGUAGUAAUUUAUAAAUUUCAACUUAAGAACACAAUAAUUUCUGUUUCUUCUUUAUUUACAGAGAGCUGUUUUCAGAUAGUGACAGAAUUCGUAUCUGUGACAGAUACAGAGCAUGAGUACAAGCCGUAUUAGAACUGUAAGGCUGAUUCAGUAUUUGAAAACCAAUUAAAAAAUAUAAAUAAAUAAAUAAAAAACAAAAUCAUAUUUUAUCAAAAUAGAAAAAUACUAGAUCAAUAUAGAAGAAGGCAUUUGGCAAACUUCAGUUUUCAUUUAUGAUUCAGAAUAAAGCCUCAGAAACAAAACUUUCCCUACUUGAUGAGCAGAAUCAAUAGCAACUUAACACAAAAUACUGCAUGCAUUCUCUGUAAGAUAGGGAGCAAAGACAAUUUUUCUUCAUUUAUGCCAUGUAACAGAAUAGAAAAAGGAAAUAAAA
rnacentral:lncRNA from 1 species